rnacentral:lncRNA from 1 species
CCCAACAAUGCUGAAAAUUGUACAAGCAAACCCCAUUUAAUGCUGAAAGUUGCAGAAACACCCCAAUUAAUGCUGAAAGUUGCAGAAACACCCCAACCAAUGCUGAAAAUAGCACAACACCCCCCAACUAAUCUGAAAUUUGAACCAAUCACCACAAAUCAACGAGCCCACCUCAAAUUGAACAAACCCAUGACAAAAAACGAACAAACCCAGCCCUGAUUGAACGAAAAUUUGAAGAAAUAGGGUUGUAGAUCGCAAGCCCGUUCCAAUUGGUGUUGAAUCUCAAACAAAACGAAAGAAUCAAUAGAAAUUAAAUAUUAGAGUUGAGAUAUUGUGAGAAUUGUUGAAGAAAUUGAAGAGAAGAGUGAAAAUUAGGUUUGGGAAUCUUGAGAUGUUGAAGAGAUUGCUCAAAUUAGUUUUUUUUUUUGCAGCCAAUUGAGUUUCCUU